rnacentral:rRNA from 1 species
UACGGGAAGGCAGCAGUGGGGAAUAUUGCACAAUGGGCGAAAGCCUGAUGCAGCUAUGCCGCGUGUAUGAAGAAGGCCUUAGGGUUGUAAAGUACUUUCAUCGGGGAGGAAAAAACAAAACUAAUAAUUUUAUUUCUUGACGUUACCCGAAAAAGAAGCACCGGCUAACUCCGUGCCAGCAGCCGCGGUAAUACGGAGGGUGCUAGCGUUAAUCAGAAUUACUGGGCGUAAAGAGCACGUAGGCGGUUUUUUUAAGUCAGAUGUGAAAUCCCUGGGCUUAACCUAGGAACUGCAUUUUGAAACUGAAAUACUAGAGUAUCGUAGAGGGAGGUAGAAUUCUAGGUGUAGCGGUGAAAUGCGUAGAUAUCUGGAGGAAUACCUGUGGCGAAAGCGGCCUCCUAAACGAAUACUGACACUGAGGUGCGAAAGCGUGGGGAGCAAACAGGGAUUAGAUACC